rnacentral:lncRNA from 10 species
GGAAACUGAAGCUCAGAGAGCCCAAGUCAUUUGCCCAAGGUCCCAGUGACCUGCCGAGUGGGAAGAGCCGUGGCUGGCCGGCCUCCCAGUGGCGACGACGACCUCGCUGUGUUCGUGGCAGCGGCACUCUCAAAUCUGGGCACGGUGAUGGGAAGGUUAUUUGUUGGAAUCCCUUUGCCUUUCCAAGGGAAAAUAAACACAAAAAGUGA